rnacentral:rRNA from 1 species
GACGAACGUUGGCGGCGUGCUUAAUACAUGCAAGUCCACUGAAGCAGUGGUAGCAAUAUCGCUGUGGAGGUGGCGCACGGGUGAGUAACACGUAGGUAAUCUGCCUUCAGGUCUGGCAUAACUCCGGGAAACCGGGGCUAAUAGCAGAUGAUGCAGCGGCUCGACAUCGAGACAGUUGUUAAAGCUAUGGCGCCUGAAGAUGAGCCUGCGUCUGAUUAGCUAGUUGGCGGGGUAACGGCCCACCAAGGCAACGAUCAGUAGCUGGGCUGAGAGGAUGAUCAGCCACACUGGAACUGAGACACGGUCCAGACUCCUACGGGAGGCAGCAGUAAGGAAGAUUGCUCAAUGGGAGAAAUCCUGAAGCAGCAACGCCGCGUGAGGGACGAAGGGCUUUGGCUUGUAAACCUCUGUAGUGAGAGAAAAAAAUCCCAAUCUUUGGGACAUGAUGGUAUCUCAAAAGUAAGCCCCGGCUAACUACGUG